rnacentral:misc_RNA from 1 species
UAAUCGCGGAUCAGCACGCCGCGGUGAAUACGUUCCCGGGCCUUGUACACACCGCCCGUCACACCAUGGGAGUCUGCAAUGCCCAAAGCCGGUGGCCUAACCUUCGGGAAGGAGCCGUCUAAGGCAGGGCAGAUGACUGGGGUGAAGUCGUAACAAGGUAGCCGUAGGAGAACCUGCGGCUGGAUCACCUCCUUUCUAAGGAAGCGAAGGAUAUGGAGAGCAGGAAUGCUAAGAGAAGUAUCCAGAGCAAGCGGAAGCACACUGAGAAACUUUGUUUAGUUUUGAGGGUAGUACCUCAAAAAGAGCUAGUACAUUGAAAACUGAAUAUAAUCCAAGCAAAAAACCGAGACAAUCAAAGAGAACAGAUUGUAGAGCGACCGAGAAGAGAAUUCUUGAGUAAGGUCAAGUAGAAAAGGGCGCACGGUGAAUGCCUAGGCACUAACAGCCGAAGAAGGACGUGACGAACUACGAAAAGCUUCGGGGAGCGGUAAGUACGCAGUGAUCCGGAGAUAUCCG